GCCAGGGCAAGAGUGGGGCUGGGAGGGGCGCGCGGAGAAAGAGGCGCGCGGGCCCCCGACCCCGCUGCGCGAGUCUGUGGGUUGGGGAGCCGAAUGGACACGGAUGGGAGGAGAGUCGAUGAGCGUUUGGGAAGAGAAAGCGCAAGAGUCCUCACCUUGCACGGGGCCUGGGAGGGCGGUCCGAGGAUGGAGCGCUCGGGGAAGAGGCGCGCGAGCCAGGCACUCCGGGGCGAGACGCAGGGCACCCAGCAGGAACAGCGCGAGAGAGGAGGGGCGCACGCGGCCACACCAGGCACCAGCUGUUACUGUGGCAAGCGGCCGGCAACUCCAGCUGCCAAGAGACCUGGGAGAGACGCGGGCAUUUCCAAGACUGUUCCUGCCCUGAGGUUCACGGCUUUGUCUUCAUCUAGCAGCUGUGACCCCCAUCUGUCUGAGCCCCUCUUUCCAAAGCCUCCUUGGGUGGCAGGGAAACUCCCAGGGCUUGGGAGGCCAUAGGACGAAGGAGUGGGGAGAAAUUAGCAAGUCUGAGACUGCAGGAACAAGCCUUGUCCUUACGCUGACACUGAAAAUAGCUUUUGUUUCCAGUGGGUGCCAGCUGGGUCACAGUCUUACUGCCAUCUCCCUCUGGUUCGGGGCUUCCCAAACUUCUCCUAAAUACGUUCUUCUCAAGGUUGCUCCAUUUUCCUUACCUGCAGCCCCCUUGUUUUUGACUCUCCACUUCAUCCCUUUCUUUACUGAAAUAAAUUUAUUUUAAAAGGAAGCUUAUACUUACA
ensembl:lncRNA